rnacentral:misc_RNA from 1 species
AAUGCAGUGCGGUGGACCUAACGAUUACGAGUAUUACGUUCACUACACCGAGUUUAAUAGGAGGCUUGAUGAAUGGGUGAAGCUUGAACAGCUAGAUCUUGAUUCUGUGGAGACUGUCAUAGAUGAGAAGGUCGAAGACAAGGUAACAAGCUUGAAAAUGACACGCCACCAGAAACGUAAGAUUGAUGAAACACAUGUAGAGGGCCACGAGGAGCUUGAUGCUGCCAGCUUACGUGAACAUGAGGAAUUCACAAAAGUGAAAAAUAUAGCCACUAUUGAACUUGGGAGAUAUGAGAUUGAGACAUGGUACUUCUCCCCCUUUCCACCAGAAUACAAUGAUUCUGUCAAGCUGUACUUUUGUGAGUUUUGCCUCAAUUUCAUGAAGCGUAAAGAACAGCUUCAAAGGCAUAUGAGAAAGUGUGAUCUCAAGCAUCCCCCUGGUGAUGAGAUUUAUCGAAGUGGUACAUUGUCAAUGUUUGAGGUUGAUGGCAAAAAGAACAAAGUCUAUGGCCAGAAUCUUUGUUAUUUGGCAAAGCUGUUUCUUGAUCACAAGACCCUUUAUUAUGACGUGGACCUUUUUCUAUUCUAUGUUUUGUGUGAAUGUGAUGAUCGAGGAUGCCACAUGGUUGGAUAUUUUUCCAAGGAAAAGCAUUCAGAGGAGUCGUAUAAUUUGGCAUGUAUUCUCACUCUUCCUCCUUACCAAAGGAAAGGCUAUGGAAAAUUUUUAAUUGCAUUCUCAUAUGAACUUUCCAAGAAAGAAGGUAAAGUUGGUACACCUGAAAGACCGCUUUCUGACCUCGGGUUGUUAAGCUACAGAGGGUACUGGACCCGAGUUCUUUUGGACAUCUUGAAAAAGCACAAGGGCAAUAUUUCUAUCAAGGAGCUUAGUGACAUGACAGCCAUCAAAGCGGAGGAUAUUUUGACUACACUUCAGAGCCUAGAAUUAAUUCAGUACAGAAAGGGUCAGCAUGUGAUUUGUGCAGAUCCAAAAGUCUUGGAUCGUCAUCUAAAAGCUGCCGGCCGUGGUGGUCUUGAGGUUGAUGUUAGCAAAUUGAUCUGGACUCCUUAUAAAGAACAGGGUUGAUUAUGAACUAAUGAUUGCUGUGUAAUUUGAUUUGUACCUUUUCCUGUGUAAAUGUAGCUCUUAUUAGGAAAUUAAAUUAGGUGAAUAUAUAAGAGAGAGCCGCAGGGCUUCUUAGGUACGUGCCUUUUUAUGCGACCUUGUUUGUUACUCCAUACAUGCAAUGAAAUGUAACCUAACUCUAACCUUAGAAGGAGACACAUCUGGCAUGUUUCUGAUUUGAUCCUCGCAAUCUUUGAUCGUGAGGUAGGACGUCUCUGUGGUUGGGUUUUAUUUUCU